GUGGGGAAUAUUGGACAAUGGGCGAAAGCCUGAUCCAGCCAUGCCGCGUGUGUGAAGAAGGUCUUCGGAUUGUAAAGCACUUUAAGUUGGGAGGAAGGGCAGUAAGUUAAUAACUUGCUGUUUUGACGUUACCAACAGAAUAAGCACCGGCUAACUACGUGCCAGCAGCCGCGGUAAUACGGAGGGUGCGAGCGUUGUCCGGAUUUAUUGGAUUUCAAGGGUGCGUAGGCUGGAAGGUCAGUCAGCGGUGAAAAGCUGUCGCUUAACGAUAGUCGUGCCGUAGAUACUUCCUGUCUUGGAUGAGGAGGAGGCCACUGGAACGUAUGGUGUAGCGGUGAAAUGCAUAGAUAUCAUCCAGAACACCGAUUGCGAAGGCAGGUGGCUGUACCUUAAUCGACGCUGAUGCACGAAAGCAUGGGGAGCAAACAGGAUUAGAAACCCUUGUAGUCC
rnacentral:rRNA from 1 species